rnacentral:rRNA from 1 species
GUGCCAGCCGCGCGGUAAUACCGGCAGCCCGAGUGAUGGCCGCUAUUAUUGGGCCUAAAGCGUCCGUGGCCGGCCAGACAAGUCCGUUGGGAAAUCCACGCGCUUAACGCGUGGACGUCCGGCGGAAACUGUCUGGCUUGGGGCCGGAAGAUCUGAGGGGUACGUCCGGGGUAGGAGUGAAAUCCCGUAAUCCUGGACGGACCGCCGGUGGCGAAAGCGCCUCAGAAAGACGGACCCGACGGUGAGGGACGAAAGCUAGGGUCUCGAACCGGAUUAGAAACCCUAGUAGUCC